rnacentral:rRNA from 1 species
ACGUAGGAGGCGAGCGUUAUCCGGAUUUACUGGGUGUAAAGCGCGUGCAGGCGGUUCUGCAAGUGGGACGUGGGAGCGCCCGGCUCAACCGGGCGAGGACGUACCGAACUGCGGGACUAGAGGCAGGCAGAGGCGUGUGGAAUUCCGGGUGUAGUGGUGAAAUGCGUAGAGAUCCGGAGGAACACUAGAGGCGAAGGCGACUUGCUGGGCCUGAACUGACGCUCAGACGCGAAAGCAUGGGGAGCGAACGG